GAUGAACGCUGGCGGCGUGCCUAAUACAUGCAAGUCGAGCGAACGGACGAGAAGCUUGCUUCUCUGAUGUUAGCGGCGGACGGGUGAGUAACACGUGGAUAACCUACCUAUAAGACUGGGAUAACUUCGGGAAACCGGAGCUAAUACCGGAUAAUAUUUUGAACCGCAUGGUUCAAAAGUGAAAGACGGUCUUGCUGUCACUUAUAGAUGGAUCCGCGCUGCAUUAGCUAGUUGGUAAGGUAACGGCUUACCAAGGCAACGAUGCAUAGCCGACCUGAGAGGGUGAUCGGCCACACUGGAACUGAGACACGGUCCAGACUCCUACGGGAGGCAGCAGUAGGGAAUCUUCCGCAAUGGGCGAAAGCCUGACGGAGCAACGCCGCGUGAGUGAUGAAGGUCUUCGGAUCGUAAAACUCUGUUAUUAGGGAAGAACAUAUGUGUAAGUAACUGUGCACAUCUUGACGGUACCUAAUCAGAAAGCCACGGCUAACUACGUGCCAGCAGCCGCGGUAAUACGUAGGUGGCAAGCGUUAUCCGGAAUUAUUGGGCGUAAGCGCGCGUAGGCGGUUUUUUAAGUCUGAUGUGAAAGCCCACGGCUCAACCGUGGAGGGUCAUUGGAAACUGGAAAACUUGAGUGCAGAAGAGGAAAGUGGAAUUCCAUGUGUAGCGGUGAAAUGCGCAGAGAUAUGGAGGAACACCAGUGGCGAAGGCGACUUUCUGGUCUGUAACUGACGCUGAUGUGCGAAAGCGUGGGGAUCAAACAGGAUUAGAUACCCUGGUAGUCCACGCCGUAAACGAUGAGUGCUAAGUGUUAGGGGGUUUCCGCCCCUUAGUGCUGCAGCUAACGCAUUAAGCACUCCGCCUGGGGAGUACGACCGCAAGGUUGAAACUCAAAGGAAUUGACGGGGACCCGCACAAGCGGUGGAGCAUGUGGUUUAAUUCGAAGCAACGCGAAGAACCUUACCAAAUCUUGACAUCCUUUGACAACUCUAGAGAUAGAGCCUUCCCCUUCGGGGGACAAAGUGACAGGUGGUGCAUGGUUGUCGUCAGCUCGUGUCGUGAGAUGUUGGGUUAAGUCCCGCAACGAGCGCAACCCUUAAGCUUAGUUGCCAUCAUUAAGUUGGGCACUCUAAGUUGACUGCCGGUGACAAACCGGAGGAAGGUGGGGAUGACGUCAAAUCAUCAUGCCCCUUAUGAUUUGGGCUACACGCGUGCUACAAUGGACAAUACAAAGGGCAGGGAAACCGCGAGGUCAAGCAAAUCCCAUAAAGUUGUUCCUCAGUUCGGAAUUGUAGUUUGCAACUCGACUACAUGAAGAUGGAAUCGCUAGUAAUCGUAGAUCAGCAUGCUACGGUGAAUACGUUCCCGGG
rnacentral:rRNA from 1 species